GGCCAGACUCCUACGGGAGGCAGCAGUGGGGAAUAUUGCACAAUGGGGGAAACCCUGAUGCAGCGACGCCGCGUGAGUGAAGAAGUCAUUCGUGAUGUAAAGCUCUAUCAGCAGGGAAGAAAAUGACGGUACCUGACCAAGAAGCCCCGGCUAACUACGUGCCAGCAGCCGCGGUAAUACGUAGGGGGCAAGCGUUAUCCGGAUUUACUGGGUGUAAAGGGUGCGCAGGUGGCAGGGCAAGUCAGAUGUGAAAGCCCGGGGCUCAACCCCGGUAUUGCAUUUGAAACUGUCCGGCUAGAGUGCAGGAGAGGUAAGCGGAAUUCCUAGUGUAGCGGUGAAAUGCGUAGAUAUUAGGAGGAACACCAGUGGCGAAGGCGGCUUACUGGACUGUAACUGACACUGAGGCACGAAAGCGUGGGGAGCAAACAGGAUUAGAUACCCCCGUAAC
rnacentral:rRNA from 1 species